rnacentral:tRNA from 1 species
GGGCACUUGGCACAGUUGGUAGUGCGCACACUUUGCAUGCAUGAGGUCAGGAGUUCGACUCUCCUAGUAUCUG